rnacentral:rRNA from 1 species
UACGGGGGGGGCAAGCGUUGUUCGGAAUUACUGGGCGUAAAGGGCUCGUAGGUGGCCAACUAAGUCAGACGUGAAAUCCCUCGGCUUAACCGGGGAACUGCGUCUGAUACUGGAUGGCUGGAGUUGGAUGGAGGGAGUGCGGAAUUCCAGGUGUAGCGGUGAAAUGCGUAGAUAUCUGGAGGAACACCGGUGGCGAAGGCGGCAUCCUGGACCAACACUGACACUGAAAAGCGAAAGCCAGGGGAGCAAACGGG